rnacentral:rRNA from 1 species
AGUGAACGCUGGCGGUAGGCCUAACACAUGCAAGUCGAACGGCAGCACAGGAGAGCUUGCUCUCUGGGUGGCGAGUGGCGGACGGGUGAGGAAUACAUCGGAAUCUACUCUGUCGUGGGGGAUAACGUAGGGAAACUUACGCUAAUACCGCAUACGACCUACGGGUGAAAGCAGGGGACCUUCGGGCCUUGCGCGAUUGAAUGAGCCGAUGUCGGAUUAGCUAGUUGGCGGGGUAAAGGCCCACCAAGGCGACGAGCCGUAGCUGGUCUGAGAGGAAGAUCAGCCACACUGGAGCUGAGACACGGUCCAGACUCCUACGGGAGGCAGCAGUGGGGAAUAUUGGACAAUGGGCGCAAGCCUGAUCCAGCCAUACCGCGUGGGUGAAGAAGGCCUUCGGGUUGUAAAGCCCUUUUGUUGGGAAAGAAAUCCAGCUGGCUAAUACCCGGUUGGGAUGACGGUACCCAAAGGAUAAGCACCGGCUAACUUCGUGCCAGCCGCCGCCGUAA